rnacentral:rRNA from 1 species
AGGCUCAGGAUGAACGCUGGCGGCGUGCCUAAUACAUGCAAGUCGAGCGAACAGAUAAGGAGCUUGCUCCUUUGACGUUAGCGGCGGACGGGUGAGUAACACGUGGAUAACCUACCUAUAAGACUGGGAUAACUUCGGGAAACCGGAGCUAAUACCGGAUAACAUAUUGAACCGCAUGGUUCAAUAGUGAAAGGCGGCUUUGCUGUCACUUAUAGAUGGAUCCGCGCCGUAUUAGCUAGUUGGUAAGGUAACGGCUUACCAAGGCAACGAUACGUAGCCGACCUGAGAGGGUGAUCGGCCACACUGGAACUGAGACACGGUCCAGACUCCUACGGGAGGCAGCAGUAGGGAAUCUUCCGCAAUGGGCGAAAGCCUGACGGAGCAACGCCGCGUGAGUGAUGAAGGUCUUCGGAUCGUAAAACUCUGUUAUCAGGGAAGAACAAAUGUGUAAGUAACUGUGCACAUCUUGACGGUACCUGAUCAGAAAGCCACGGCUAACUACGUGCCAGCAGCCGCGGUAAUACGUAGGUGGCAAGCGUUAUCCGGAAUUAUUGGGCGUAAAGCGCGCGUAGGCGGUUUUUUAAGUCUGAUGUGAAAGCCCACGGCUCAACCGUGGAGGGUCAUUGGAAACUGGAAAACUUGAGUGCAGAAGAGGAAAGUGGAAUUCCAUGUGUAGCGGUGAAAUGCGCAGAGAUAUGGAGGAACACCAGUGGCGAAGGCGACUUUCUGGUCUGUAACUG